GACUGGAAACUCACACGCAGUGGGAUGGCAUGAAUUCAUGAGAACUGGUGAAAGAAGCCUGAAGCUGCAAGUGCAUAGACAUAGCUCAAGUCCUGAAAGGAUUUAAACAGAUCUUAAACCCUAAACCUGCGAAUAUUCUUACUGGUCCCAGUGGGGAAACAAUACAGAAUCCAUCCUUGCUGGAGGAAGGACAUGGCCAGCUCUUGGUGUAACACCUAAGUCAAGAAGGUUCUCGCUAUAUCUGGAACUCUGAGAAGUUUUCACAAUAUAACCAGGUGACAUCCAGAGCUCUCUUCUGUGAGUGUAUUCCCUGCUGAUGACUUUACUGGUCUGCUCAUCUACAAAGUGGAACACCAUCAAUAUUCAACCGUUGUCCUAAGGAGCUGCUCUCUAUCUCUCUGCAAGCUCACAGCAUAGCAAACAAGCAAGAAAUGUUCAUGGUAUUUCUUUAUGUAGUUGCCUGACACUGUCAGCUGUAGUGGAGGAGCCUCUAAAAUUUGCCUCAGCAGUUGGCAGGAGUCAGAUGUUGCACAGCCACGCUUCAUAUCCUGAUGCUCCAGAAUCCUGGACUUGCUUUCCACGCACCUCCCUGCUGAGGGUGUUAGCAACCAAAUGAAGCCAGCAGAAAGCUGAGUGAGCUAACAGUCUGAUCUGACGCAGGAGUCAAAUAUUGGAGAAGACAAACAUAAAGCGUAGGGCCACAGAGCCAAAAAAGACAGACAAAAAUACUUCUAUUGAAAGAAAGGAAAGGGCACUUGAUGUACAGGAAGUUUCCCAUAGCUGAGUGCUUGCUUAAAAGGAUUCAUCCCCUUUUCUGGCACAGGAUCAUACUUGCUAUUCAAGUAUCUUCCACAGCUGAGGGAAAAAUAAACAACAAACAGUCUUUCUCUUGACCUCUCUAUCCAGAGUAAUCACGUUCAUCUACUUAGAGCAACAGUCAGGAUUAAAACAAAUGUACCAGGCUUUACUCUAGUGAGCCCCACGGGGGGAAUCCUUUGCAGGAUAAGAC
ensembl:lncRNA